AAAGAAACCAACAGGGAUUGCCCCAGUAACGGCGAGUGAAGCGGCAACAGCUCAAAUUUGAAAUCUGGCCCCAGGCCCGAGUUGUAAUUUGCAGAGGAUGCUUUGGGCGCGGUGCCUUCCGAGUUCCCUGGAACGGGACGCCAUAGAGGGUGAGAGCCCCGUCUGGUCGGACACCAAGCCUAUGUAAAGCUCCUUCGACGAGUCGAGUAGUUUGGGAAUGCUGCUCAAAAUGGGAGGUAUAUGUCUUCUAAAGCUAAAUACCGGCCAGAGACCGAUAGCGCACAAGUAGAGUGAUCGAAAGAUGAAAAGCACUUUGAAAAGAGAGUUAAACAGCACGUGAAAUUGUUGAAAGGGAAGCGUUCAUGACCAGACUUGGCCCGGUUGAUCAUCCAGCGUUCUCGCUGGUGCACUCUGCCGGUCCAGGCCAGCAUCAGUUCGCCGCGGGGGAUAAAGGUUUCGGGAAUGUGGCUCCCCCGGGAGUGUUAUAGCCCGUUGCGCAAUACCCUGUGGUGGACUGAGGUCCGCGCUCUGCAAGGAUGCUGGCGUAAUGGUCAUCAACGACCCGUCUUGAAACACGGACCAAGGAGUCGUCUUCGUAUGCGAGUGUUCGGGUGUAAAACCCCUACGCGUAAUGAAAGUGAACGGAGGUGGGAGCUUCGGCGCACCAUCGACCGAUCCUGAUGUUCUCGGAUGGAUUUGAGUAAGAGCAUACGGGGCCGGACCCGAAAGAAGGUGAACUAUGCCUGUAUAGGGUGAAGCCAGAGGAAACUCUGGUGGAGGCUCGCAGCGGUUCUGACGUGCAAAUCGAUCGUCAAAUAUGGGCAUGGGGGCGAAAGACUAAUCGAACCUUCUAGUAGCUGGUUUCCGCCGAAGUUUCCCUCAGGAUAGCAGUGUUGAACUCAGUUUUAUGAGGUAAAGCGAAUGAUUAGGGACCCGGGGGCGCUAUUUUGCCUUCAUCCAUUCUCAAACUUUAAAUAUGUAAGAAGCCCUUGUUGCUUAAUUGAACGUGGGCAUUCGAAUGUAUCAAC
rnacentral:rRNA from 1 species